AGCGAACGCUGGCGGCAGGCUUAACACAUGCAAGUCGAACGGGCAUAGCAAUAUGUCAGCGUCAGACGUGUGAGUAACGCGUGGGAACGUACCUUUUGGUUCGGAACAACUGAGGGAAACUUCAGCUAAUACGGGAUAAGCCCUUACGGGGACAGAGUGAUCGCCGAAAGCUGGGCCCGCGUCUGAUUAGCUGGUUGGUGAGGUAAUGGCUAACCAAGGCGACGAAGAGUAGCUGGUCGCAGAGGAUGAUCAGCCACUUUGGGACGAAGACACGGGCGAAAGUACUACGGGAGGCAGCGGUGGGGAAGAUUGUACGAUGGGGGGAAGCCUGAUCCAGCAAUGCCGCGUGAGUGAUGAAGGCCCUAGGGUUGUAAAGCUCUGUUGUGCGGGAAGGUAAUGACGGUACCGCAAGAAUAAGCCCCGGCUAACUUCGUGCCAGCCGCCGCCGUAA
rnacentral:rRNA from 1 species